GCCCCUUCCUUUGGGCUGCCCGCCAGCCCAGCGCUCUGGGAAAGCCGUGUGCCCUUGGUGACCCCGCGCUGAGGGGAUACCGUGUCUCUCGGUGUCCCCCGGGUGCUGCCCUGGGAGAGAGGGAGGCAGCGCGGCGCUCUGGGGCGGUCUCAGCCUCUCCCGCUGACAGCCGGGCUGGCUGGGACUGUGAAAUAUGGAAAAACGAUGUGGUGCUGCUGUUCCCCCUCUGCUUUGCCUGGGGAUUACCUGCCUACAGUGUGGAAACCUCGUGUCCACACAAAUCAUGUGUGUUUCUGCACCUUGUAACGCAAAAAGCGCUCUGGUUCAGGAACUUGUUCUUACAACCCCUCUUGGUACCUGGGCAGCGAAAUGGGUGCACCCCGCUGUGUGCUGUCCCACCUGAGCACAUCAUCCAUUGGUAACUCUUGGGAGACAGAAUAAAGAAUAAAUGCAAAGCUUUGCUGUUAUGUUUAGAGGCAGAAGCUUAGGAAACCCCAGCGGGCAGUGGAAGAGCGGUGAAUGUGUCUGAGGUGAUGGGCGGGCGCGGGCAGAAUCAUCAUUCCCACAGUGGUGAGGGAACCCUCACCCACCCCAGACGUGCUGCAAACCAAAACGCUUCGAUUCCUCUGGACACGUACUGCAAUUCAUGCUGUUCUUGGCCUCGUGGUGUUUUACGGUGGCCCAGGCGUCUCCCAGGAGGUGUGUGGGGUGGGUGAUGGCUUUUCCACGGGUGACCGAGGAGUCAUUUCCUGCUCCGUCACCUGCCUGCUGGAAGCUCCUCACAGCUGCAUCUUCCUGCAUUCCUCCAUCCCUCUGGGGCGCUGCAAAACGCCCGCCUGGUGCUUCCCAGCUGACUCAGUUAAUUACUGAAAUUAGCAAAACUUGUCCUCGGCCCUUGGCUUUUAAAUAAAUAGCCAAUGAGAUAAAUCUAGGUUUUCACAGAGCACCCGUGGUUCCCAUGAAAUGUGGUCUCAUAUUGAGAGUUCCUUCUGUGAGGAAUUUGCCAAGAGCCAGGGGACCAGAGAUGUUACAAUGGUGGCCUCACAUCUGCUGGAACUGCACCCCUGACUGGCAUUAUCUCCACUAUCUCUGCAUUAAGCAUCCUGAUGUUUCAGUCCCCUGGGGAAAUCUACUGACCUGGGGUUCCUGAUGCAGUGGACAAGCUCAGCCACUGUAGCAGAGCUGUGGCCAUCAGAAGAAGGACCUGAGCAGCCUCCUGCUGAUAUAACCUCAAUUUCCCACCAAGCCUGAGCAUUUCUGACAGCAGAAAGCAUUUACCAGUGGACUGCUGAGCACAUCAAGGUGGAUACAGUUCUCUUGUUGUUUGGAUUGGGAGAGGGGUAACUUGUAGCACAGAUUGCUGGCCUGCAGGCAUCCAGAGAUCAACAACCAUCUUCCUGUGAUACCAAGCCCCCUGUGAAACAGACAGCCCUUACCCACAGCAUUCAUAAUGCAGAGGAGCCAUCACUCUGAUCAGAAGCUGAAAUCCUGCUUUGUGCUCCUCCAGUGUGGAAAUCUGUCAGCUCCUGUGACCCCUAUUACUGUAAUACCCGAGAACAUCACCUCUGGUCGUGCACUGAGCCUCGCAGUAUCUGAAGAAAGUUAGACUUGCAUUAAUAUUAUUUUCCUCUGUUCUACAUGGAGAACUGAGGCAAAGCCAGGUCAAGUGAUUCACCCAAAGGUGCUCUUUGAAAAGGGGUCCUAGUGCUGCACACACGUGCCCAGCCUUUGGCUGGUAUUUAAAACCGAGUUCUUUUGAUUGCAGAAAUGGCUUCAAGCAAGCCCCAAACACCCAACAGCAAACCAGAUGACAGGGCACAAACCACAGGCUUUUGCUCAAAAGCCAGCUGAGAGACUGAAGUGAGAAAGGGUUCUGAGUUUCAUCCCUGCUGAACUGAGGAAGAUCGUGUGUGAACUGACAUCGCCGCAGAUCCGGGGAAGGCACGGAAAAUCCGAACGGUGAGAACCUGAACCUCGGAGAAACAGCCUCACUUUUCUCAGGAGAAAAGAUGAAUCCACAGAGUAGAUCUUGCCACAGCAGAAGGAACAUGUGUCAUGGGAACAGCAGAGGCAAAAUGUGUCAUGGGAAAAUCUUGACGGAUUCAGCCCAGGACGCGAAUAUGCAAAUUGAGACCAAAUUAAAUGCAAUUGAGCAAGAUAACACAUAUCCCAGCAAUGAAGAAAACUCACAGCACACUCGCAAAAAAGAUGGAGUUUAAAUCCAAGGAGGGGGGUCUGAGAAUGUCUAAGCAGUCCCCAGUGACUAAAUUUUAGCAGGAAUAUGAAAAUUUCUCCAAAAAGGAGUCAGGAAAGUGUUGCAGGAAUCAAACAAGGAGUAACUGAAGUGCAAGGACUCAGUGGAAGAGGUGUAACCUUCCCCCCAACACAGCAAAGCUGUUAUUAAAUAAUAAUAUAGUUUUUCUGCUAUUAAAAAGUCAUCCUGUGGCUCACUUCUGGGAUACUGUAUAUUUUUUCUCUUCCUGGCCUGCUCUGCUGAAAGAGGGAUUUUCAAGAGUUGCUGGUUUCUAUCUCCAAAGUAGCUCAAUUUCAGUUCCAGGGGAAAUGAAACUCUCAACUAACUUCAUUUGUAAAAUCUUUGAAGAUGUGGGAAUGUCCUCUGGCUGUAAGGAGAGGGAGUGUGAUUCAGAGCCUGGUACAGAUAUAUAAAGGGGUUCAAUAUUUAAUUAAACGUAAUCUUCCUUGUGGCA